AACGCACAUUGCGCCCCUUGGUAUUCCGAGGGGCAUGCCUGUUCGAGCGUCAUUUCAACCUCUCAAGCUCUGCUUGGUGUUGGGCUCCGCCAUCGCGGCGGGCCUUAAAAUCAGUGGCGGUGCCGUCUCGGCUCCAAGCGUAGUAGCAUUAUCUCGCUCCGGAGACCCGGCGGUUGCCAGCCAGAUAACCCCCCAUUCUUUCUCGUGGUUGACCUCGGAUCAGGUAGGGAUACCAGCUGAACUUAA
rnacentral:misc_RNA from 1 species